CAAGUUGUGGUUCAGUGGUAGAGGGUAUAUGGCUUGUAUGUAUAAGGUUCUAGGUUCAAUUCCCAGUAUCUCUA